UACAGAGGUCCCAAGCGUUGUUCGGAUUCACUGGGCGUAAAGGGUGCGUAGGUGGUCGGGUAAGUCUGAUGUGAAAUCUCCGAGCUUAACUCGGAAACUGCAUCGGAUACUAUUCGGCUCGAGGGUUGGAGGGGGGACUGGAAUGCUUGGUGUAGCAGUGAAAUGCGUAGAUAUCAUUUGGAACGCCAAGGGCGAAAGCAGGCUGCUGGGAUUGUGCCGACGCUGAGACACGAAAGCCAGGGGAGCAAACGGG
rnacentral:rRNA from 1 species